rnacentral:rRNA from 1 species
CCUACGGGUGGCAGCAGUGGGGAAUAUUGGACAAUGGGGGCAACCCUGAUCCAGCCAUGCCGCGUGUGUGAAGAAGGCCCGCGGGUUGUAAAGCACUUUCAGUGAGGAAGAACGCCUGGUGGUUAAUACCCAUCAGCAAAGACAUCACUCACAGAAGAAGCACCGGCUAACUCCGUGCCAGCAGCCGCGGUAAUACGGAGGGUGCGAGCGUUAAUCGGAAUUACUGGGCGUAAAGCGCGCGUAGGUGGCUUGAUAAGCCGGUUGUGAAAGCCCCGGGCUCAACCUGGGAACGGCAUCCGGAACUGUCAAGCUAGAGUGCAGGAGAGGAAGGUAGAAUUCCCGGUGUAGCGGUGAAAUGCGUAGAGAUCGGGAGGAAUACCAGUGGCGAAGGCGGCCUUCUGGACUGACACUGACACUGAGGUGCGAAAGCGUGGGUAGCAAACAGGAUUAGAUACCCGUGUAGUC